rnacentral:rRNA from 1 species
AACGGGUGAGUAAUAUAUCGGAACGUCCUGGAGUGGGGGAUAACGUAGCGAAAGUUACGCUAAUACCGCAUACGAUCUACGGAUAAGUGGGGGAUCGCAAGACCUCAUGCUCGUGGAGCGGCCGAUAUCUGAUUAGCUAGUUUAGGGUAAAAGCCUACCAAGGCAUCGAUCAGUAGCUGGUCUGAGAGGACGACCAGCCACUGGAACUGAGACACGGUCCAGACUCCUACGGGAGGCAGCAGUGGGGAAUUUUGGACAGGGCGAAAGCCUGAUCCAGCAAUGCCGCGUGAGUGAAGAAGGCCUUCGGGCUGUAAAGCUUUUGUCAGGGAAGAAACGGUGAGGGCUAAUAUCUCUUGCUAAUGACGGUACCUGAAAUAAGCACCGGCUAACUACGUGCCAGCAGCCGCGGUAAUACGUAGGGUGCAAGCGUUACGGAAUUACUGGGCGUAAAGCGUGCGCAGGCGGUUUUGUAAGUCUGAUGUGAAAUCCCGGCUCAACCUGGGAAUUGCAUUGGAGACUGCAAGGCUAGAAUCUGGCAGAGGGGGGUAAUUCCACGUGUAGCAGUGAAAUGCGUAGAUAUGUGGAGGAACACCGAUGGCGAAGGCACCCCUGGGUCAAGAUUGACGCUCAUGCACGAAAGCGUGGGGAGCAAACAGGAUUAGAUCCUGGUAGUCCACGCCCUAAACGAUGUCUACUAGUUGUCGGGUCUUAAUUGACUUGGU